CUAUUAUUUGCAGAUUAGAAUUACUAUUAACUGCCAUCAUUACCACCUUAUUUGGCCAUAGAGGAGAUAAGGACCAUAGAUAACUCUCAUUGCCAUAGUUCAUAACAGUUUGUGUCACGCUUCAAGUAUAUGAAUUGGAACAGCUACUGAGAUGCUAGAACUCAUCAGUGUGGGUCACUUCCUUUCUAGCUGAUGAUUGCUUGAUUCAGAUUCAUGAGGGAAGGGAGGACAGAGGAACCAGUUCCAUGGCACAAAUUCUAAUGGAAGCUGACCACAGUUUUAAUGAUGGCGCCAAGUGGCCACUCUUCAUUACAGAUAAACAUACUUCCAUUGGUGGAGCUAGGAGGACAGAUAAGUGAGAAUUGUUAUAUCCUCCUGCCUGGACCUAGAAAGAGAGGAGAGGUGUCUUUCACUCAGAAGAAGCAAAAUGCACUACAAAAUGAAGGAAACACAAAAGAGAGAGAGAAAGCAAUCAGUGGCAGACUAGAAGCAAUAAGUCUUGCAAAAAGGUGAGAAUUUCAUCCGCAGUGGAAAGAAGUCUGGAGCCCCUACAGCUGCAGGCGGCCAGAGACGGCCCGGGGAGAAAUCAACCAGCCCAGCUCGCCACGUAGGGAAACCAAAGGCUCGCAACACCAGCACAGGCUGAGACUUUGCCUCCCGUCCAUCUAGAAGAUUAUGCUAAUUCCUACCCAGUGCGAUGCUCUCACAUGGAGAUUAAAUAAUACCAACGUUUGUAAGCAUAAAUAUCUAAAACCAUUAUGUAUAUUCAUGUACAAUUAACUCAGUGUCAAUAUCGUUGCUGUCGUUAAAUUAAUCACUCUGCGCCCCAAGCAAAAUAGUUUCCUCUGGACCUAAAGAGAAGCACAAGAACCCAUGUGACUCCUACUCCAGUCAUGAUCUCCCUGUGUAGGCAGGGCCAGGCCCUGAAGUUACCAGUUUCAGGAACCCGUCAGGUCGUGAACAAUGAUCAAUAGUCAUCAAAGAGAGUCAUAUUUAUGAAAACUCAUUAUAUGCUGGCACCGUUUUGAAUGUUUUAAUUCGUUAUUUUAUGCAACACUACUCACAAUAACCUUGCUUUCAUCCUUAUUUACAUUGAAGGAAACAGGCACAGGGAGGUUCAGCAACUAGCUCAAUUACCAGCACAGUUGAAAGAAGUGGAGUCUGGAUUCCACCUGAGCCCAGAGUUUUAGAUGCUUUGAUGUGUGUCUCCAGGUAACCAGUCCCUACAGGGUUGUGCUCAGAGCUGCAUGCUCUAUCAAGGAGAUGUAACAGGUGCCCGACAAAACUGAAGGCCAGAGCACCCUGAGAAGUGAGUUUGGAAUACAUCAUGCUAACAUGACCUAUCUUGUUAGCCUAAAUACCACUGAUUGUCU
rnacentral:lncRNA from 1 species